GCUGUAACUUGGUGUCAGGAAAGAGUUCAGGAAACCGUUGAGUUGAGUUGUGUUAGGAUUGUUGUGUCAGGACGAGAGGCUUGGGGUCGUCUGGAUCCUCACAUACAUUCUUAGUCUUGGGUGGUCUUCUGUGAUGGGAAAAACGGGUCUCACGUAACCCAGGGUGACCUUGAAAAGCUGCUUUUUUUUUUUUUUUGAAAUUUUUAAAUUUUGUGUCUGGGCAUUUUGCCUGCAUGCGUAUAUGCACACCAUGUGUGCUUGCUGCCCACACAGCUCAGAAGAGGCAUCAGACUCCCUGGAACUGAAGUUACAGAUGGCUGCGAGCCACUGGGAAUCACGUGUGGCUGCUGGGAAUCAAACCUGGGUCCUCUGCAAGAGCAACAGUGCCCUUAGCCGCCGAACCGUCGUGUCCCUCCAGUCCUGACCUCCCAAGUCUCCAGUUUCCUUUUCCGACCACUGGGAUUACAGGCAUGUGCCAUCAUGCCUGGUUUUAUGGAGAUUUUUACACCUGAAAUUUUCAUUGUUCUAAUAGCCAAAAGGACAUGAAAAGCUUUAGGAUCUUUGAUGUUAAUUAUACAAUUAUAUUAAUCUUGUGAACACUUAUUGAACUGUAUACAAAAGAUAUGGACAGUUUUCUGUGUGUGCAUUUUAUUUUAAUAAAACUUUAAAAGAG
rnacentral:lncRNA from 1 species